rnacentral:rRNA from 1 species
AUUGAACGCUGGCGGCAGGCCUAACACAUGCAAGUCGAACGAGUGGCGGACGGGUGAGUAAUGUCUGGGAAACUGCCUGAUGGAGGGGGAUAACUACUGGAAACGGUAGCUAAUACCGCAUACCAUCAGAUGUGCCCAGAUGGGAUUAGCGUGUUGGUGGGGUAACGGCUCACCAAGGCGACGACCCCUAGCUGGUCUGAGAGGUUGACCAGCCAAACUGGAACUGAAACACGGUCCAGACCCCUACGGGAGGCAGAAGAGGGGAAUAUUGGAAAAGGGGCGCAAUCCUGAUGCAGCCAUGCCGCGGGUAUGAAGAAGGCCUUCGGGUUGUAAAGUACGUUCAGCGGGGAGGCGUUACCCGCAGAAGAAGCACCGGCUAACUCCGUGCCAGCAGCCGCGGUAAUAC